AUCGAACGCUGGCGGCAUGCCUAACACAUGCAAGUCGAGCGAGCGGCGGACGGGUGAGUAAUGUUUGGGAAACUGCCCGAUAGAGGGGGAUAACUACUGGAAACGGUAGCUAAUACCGCAUACUAUCCGAUGUCCCCAGAGGGGAUUGGCUAGUAGGUGGGGUAAUGGCUCACCUAGGCGACGAUCCCUAGCUGGUCUGAGAGGAUGAUCAGCCAAACGGGGACUGAGACACGGCCCAGACUCCUACGGGAGGCAGCAGUGGGGAAUAUUGCACAAUGGGCGCAAGCCUGAUGCAGCCAUGCCGCGUGUAUGAAGAAGGCCUUCGGGUUGUAAAGUACUUUCAGUAGGGAGGCGUUACCCACAGAAGAAGCACCGGCUAACUCCGUGCCAGCAGCCGCGGUAAUAC
rnacentral:rRNA from 1 species